GCAUCCCGCCGCCCCCGCCUUCCUCUCCCUCGUCUCAUCUUUCUCCCAGAUCCGAGCGAGGCACCGCGCCACCCCCACCCAUCACCGCCGACCUCUCCACCAUCUCCUCCCCGUCCUCCAUCGCGCCGCCAUCCACCUCGUCGCCUCCCAUCUCCUCCCUUCCCCUCCCUCCCCCACCUUCCCCUUUUGUCCCUCCUUCCCCACCCCCACAACAAGAUCGCCGACGCGACGACAGCAAUGGGCGACGCUGAGGCUGACCAAUCCAACGAGCCAGUGAGCGAUCUCCAAAUGGAGCCGGUCCGUCGGUGCAGGCGAAGGGCGCACACGGCGGACAAGGCGGCGGCGGUGCAGCGCAAGGCCUAGUGCCGGCUGCGGCUGUCUGCGCGGGUGCCGCCGUGGGACGCCGUCGUGCUCACGGCCGCCAGCCCCGAGCAGCUCGCGCUCUACGCCCGCCAGCUCACGCGCGCGCGCCGCCUAGGCCGCUUCCCGCCCUCCACCGCCGCCCUCGCCGUCCCUAACCCCGACGGCGCCCGCAUCGGCUCCGGCACCGCCACGCUCCACGCUGUCGCCUCCCUCGCCCGCCACCUCGUCUCCCAGAUAGCAUGUACCCGUACGUGAUCCUCACCUGCCGCAGCCACGAGCAGAAGAGCACCGUCGCAUCAGGAGCGGGGAGUGAGCCCGAAUGGAACGAGACCUUCUUCUUUGCCGUCUCCGGCGACGCCCCGGAGCUCAGGGUCAAGAUCCUCUCGGCGGAUGACCUCGUCGGAGAAGCAUGGCAAGUACCAGACGAACACCCCUCCUAUACUAUCGGAUCCAAGUGCAAGCAUUAGACUAGUAGUACCGUAGUACUGCUCCAACCUGGCACAUUAUUAUUCCUAUAGAGAUUCAGAACACUUGUUUCAGCUGCUGGUUCUGAACUUUUAACUGAAUUUUCUUCAGUAUCCCGCUGGAAGCUGCUGGUUCUUCAUGUGUUUGUGUGAUGUUUUUUUGAAUCUCUUGCAGACUGGGGUGUGCAGUACUUCCACAGGUGCCACGGAUCCGGAGCCUGAUGUUGCUGCUGAAGAGCAGAGCGAUCAAGCUCCCCCAAAGGGACAUCUAGAGGUCCUUACUCAUCAGGUGCACAUGAGUGUUCUGGGCGACAUGGUCUCCUUUUCGGCAUGUGCAAGUGUCGGGUGGUGCUUGCCUACAUGGUUUACGGCAAGCUGCAGUUCAGGUGGGCGCUCCAGCUCUCCCUUCUCAUGCUAUACAUCCAGGAGCUCCAGGCCUAAGAAAGUUGGAAGUGCGAAGACGUGAAGAAAAGCGCGAAGCCGUGAAGUGCUACUCAGCAAAGAGUUGUCUGCUCUAUUUACUAUAAUAUUGUAAUAUUGUAAUAGCUGGUAUACCUGGGUUGUAAUAGUCUACUGAAAUUGUAAGACACUAAUCUAGUGUUAUUUGAUGUGUUAUUUGAUGAAUUUCACAUGUUCUCUUAUUUGUUUGGAAUAUUUGAUUAUGAAUGUGAUUUGAUAGUGUGUGAGAUGGCAA